rnacentral:rRNA from 1 species
UACGGAAGGCAGCAGUGGGGAAUAUUGCACAAUGGGCGAAAGCCUGAUGCAGCUAUGCCGCGUGUAUGAAGAAGGCCUUAGGGUUGUAAAGUACUUUCAUCGGGGAGGAAAAAACAAAACUAAUAAUUUUAUUUCUUGACGUUACCCGAAAAAGAAGCACCGGCUAACUCCGUGCCAGCAGCCGCGGUAAUACGGAGGGUGCUAGCGUUAAUCAGAAUUACUGGGCGUAAAGAGCACGUAGGUGGUUUUUUUAAGUCAGAUGUGAAAUCCCUGGGCUUAACCUAGGAACUGCAUUUUGAAACUGAAAUACUAGAGUAUCGUAGAGGGAGGUAGAAUUCUAGGUGUAGCGGUGAAAUGCGUAGAUAUCUGGAGGAAUACCUGUGGCGAAAGCGGCCUCCUAAACGAAUACUGACACUGAGGUGCGAAAAGCGUGGGGAGCAAACAGGGAUUAGAUACC